UACGUAGGCAGCAAGCGUUGUUCGGAAUUACUGGGCGUAAAGAGUGUGUAGGCGGUGCUCUAAGUUUGGUGUGAAAUCUCCCGGCUCAACUGGGAGGGUGCGCCGAAAACUGGAAUGCUUGAACAUGGGAGAGGAAAGCGGAAUUCCUGGUGUAGCGGUGAAAUGCGUAGAUAUCAGGAGGAACACCUGCGGUGUAGACGGCUUUCUGGACCAUUGUUGACGCCGAGACACGAAAGCGUGGGUAGCAAACAGG
rnacentral:rRNA from 1 species